rnacentral:lncRNA from 1 species
AGGUGGUCAAGGGGCUGCCUAGCACCUAGGUGCUAGAUGGGUGCCUAUGCAUGGGGUACCUAUAUGGGUACAAAGGUCAAGGUGGUCAAAAAUAAUAAACUAAAAAUAAAUAAUAAAUAAAAGGAGAAACCUAAAAAGAUAAAUAUAAUAUAAGAGAUUAAGAUUGGUCAAAAAAUAAGAUAGGUAGAUGGCGAUGGCUAUUUCGCUUGGUAACAUCUUGCACUAAUUUACAAAAAAAUGUUUUUUAACAUACCCAAACAUGAUGCCAGAUGGCAUUUUUUUAAAACUAUGAAUUCAAGGGAAAUAUAAGAGAACAAACUUUACUGUUUAUUUUACCCAGCAUUCAUUAUAUAAAAAAAGCUCGGCAGGUGUCUAUAAAGUUAACCAGUUGUUUGUGCUCGAAACUUGCUCAAAACAAAUAUCUAUACAUAUGAUUCAUUGCCCAAUCAAAAUUAAGCCCUUAGCUUCAUAAAACAUUGACACAAUGAGGCUCCAGUUAAUGCCACAAAAACAAAAAGAAAACUAUCCCCUUUAGCUGAAUAUCUGACGGCAUUCACUGACAUAGAACUUGUCUUUUGACUCCAUUUUGGCAUGGCUAUUAUUAUGGUGCUUUCUCAAAGAUGGUUCAACCCUUAAGAAAAUUGCUAAUAAUGGUUACGAAAUAUUCUUCAUGGUUUAUUUUGGUCCAGUUCAGAUAUUUCACAUUGAAUAAUAUCACCUAUAGGAGUGUGAAAAUAGGUCAUAUCCAAUGGGCAUUGUAGGCAUCCUCCCUAGUGUUAACGUAAUUCAGCAAGCCGUACAUGGCCUUAUAAGAAGCUGUAAUUUUACAAUCUUGACAUAGGAGAACUACAAAUCAGGGCUUUGUUCAUUGUUAUCAGUUUAGGGGGCACCUAGUUGUGCUGAUUCAAAUUCUUCUGAAUAUCUUCAUUUAUGCACUAAACUUUCCCAAAAGACUUAUUUCAGAGGUGGAGAUAGUUUCUUGAGGGCAUUUUCAUCACCAGUGUUUGAUUCUAAGGUGUUUAAGUUGUUUUCUAUAUGGCUUAUUGGUUGCAGAUUUGUCUUCAAGGCAUGGGGUUCUGGGUUGGAACCCCAACAAAGUGAAUUUUGAUAAAAGUAGACUUAGUUCUCGAGUGUGACAUGGGAUGGUCCACAAUGUGGUUUAGGUCUGAGUCAAUUAUGGUUUAGACAAGUUUAGAUGCAAAUGGGCUGUACUAUGUUGUUUAAGCCUGGUCCUAGCGUCCAAAACAAUUGUCAAGGCCUGGAUAGAAGGGUCAGAACCUCUUGUUUCUCGCAAUCUAGGAGAUUUGGACCCACUUUAACCCAACAUGUAAUAGAGAGCAAAGCUCUCUUCCUUUCCAUAAACCUGAGAGAUUCUUGUGUUAGAUGACCCCCCUUUCUAAUUCUAUAACGCUGCCAUAUGCACCGUCCCAGCCCCUUCUAGCUUUCAUCACAUGUAUCAAACUCUGUUGCUCUAUCCUUUGAAGUCCAACACAUCAGCUUUCUUUGACAUGGUAUUAGAAUUUGCCAGUCCGAGUUUAAACUUGUCUAGGCCUUAUUGGAUCAGCCAAACAAGCAAUCACUUCCUAUGUGCCUUCUUACUUCUAGUGCUUUUAGCAUAUUUUCUUCCUUACCGUUGCAAUUGCAUCUGCUUAUGAUUUUGGAAGCUAAGGGCCAAACGUUUUUGUAUCUGGAUGAGCUUUACCUUAAUAUUUGUGCUUAUAAUUUACAUCACAUGAUCAUAAUUCUAUAUAUUCUAUCAAUAUUUUUAUUAUUAUGCCUCCUAAAACCUUUGUUGCUUAUGGUAAGUACCAUGACAUGACACAAAUAAGGUUUUCCAAUAGGAAUGGGCUAUGCUUCAUGCUAAUUAUUGGACAUUUUUUCAUCUAUUUUUGGCAUCAGUAACCCAUCAAACUUUUAGAUGUGCCAGUUGCUGAGUUACGCCCCGUUCGAUGCGACGUUCGCAGCGGAAUUCGAACGGGACGUCGUUCAUCGCAUGAACGCGUCUCGAAUCAUAGAAUUCAAAAAUUUUUCUGGAUCCAAAUCCAGAAGAUCUUUGAAUUCAUUAGGGAGGGGAGAUUAGGAUCUGAGGAAGGUUGAUUAAGAUUCAUAAAACUGAAACUAAAAUCAGAAGAAA